rnacentral:rRNA from 1 species
UUGAACGCUGGCGGCAGGCCUAACACAUGCAAGUCGAGCGGUAGAGAGAAGCUUGCUUCUCUUGAGAGCGGCGGACGGGUGAGUAAUGCCUAGGAAUCUGCCUGGUAGUGGGGGAUAACGUUCGGAAACGGACGCUAAUACCGCAUACGUCCUACGGGAGAAAGCAGGGGACCUUCGGGCCUUGCGCUAUCAGAUGAGCCUAGGUCGGAUUAGCUAGUUGGUGGGGUAAUGGCUCACCAAGGCGACGAUCCGUAACUGGUCUGAGAGGAUGAUCAGUCACACUGGAACUGAGACACGGUCCAGACUCCUACGGGAGGCAGCAGUGGGGAAUAUUGGACAAUGGGCGAAAGCCUGAUCCAGCCAUGCCGCGUGUGUGAAGAAGGUCUUCGGAUUGUAAAGCACUUUAAGUUGGGAGGAAGGGCAGUAAAUUAAUACUUUGCUGUUUUGACGUUACCGACAGAAUAAGCACCGGCUAACUCUGCG